rnacentral:rRNA from 1 species
UACGGAAGGCAGCAGGGGGGAAUAUUGCACAAUGGGCGCAAGCCUGAUGCAGCCAUGCCGCGUGUAUGAAAAAGGCCUUCGGGUUUGUAAAGUACUUUCAGUCGUGAGGAAGGUGUUAAGGUUAAUAACCUUAGCAAUUGACGUUAGCGACAGAAGAAGCACCGGCUAACUCCGUGCCAGCAGCCGCGGUAAUACGGAGGGUGCGAGCGUUAAUCGGAAUUACUGGGCGUAAAGGGCACGCAGGCGGUUAAUUAAGUUGGAUGUGAAAUCCCCGGGCUUAACCUGGGAAUGGCAUUCAAGACUGGUUAGCUAGAGUCUUGUAGAGGGGGUAGAAUUCCAUGUGUAGCGGUGAAAUGCGUAGAGAUGUGGAGGAAUACCGGUGGCGAAGGGCGGCCCCUGGACAAAGACUGACGCUCAUGUGCGAAAGCGUGGGGAGCAAACAGGGAUUAGAUACC